rnacentral:rRNA from 1 species
AACGAACGCUGGCGGCAGGCUUAACACAUGCAAGUCGAGCGCCCCGCAAGGGGAGCGGCAGACGGGUGAGUAACGCGUGGGAAUCUACCCAUCUCUACGGAAUAACGCAUGGAAACGUGUGCUUAUACCGUAUACGUCCUUCGGGAGAAAGAUUUAUCGGAGAUGGAUGAGCCCGCGUUGGAUUAGCUAGUUGGUGGGGUAAAGGCCUACCAAGGCGACGAUCCAUAGCUGGUCUGAGAGGAUGAUCAGCCACACUGGGACUGAGACACGGCCCAUACUCCGCCGGGAGGCAGCAGUGGGGACUAUUGGACAAUGGGCGCAAGCCUGAUCCAGCCAUGCCGCGUGAGUGAUGAAGGCACUCGGGUUGUAAAGCUCUUUCACCGGUGAAGAUAAUGACGGUAACCGGAGAAGAAGCCCCGGCUAACUUCGUGCCAGCAGCCGCCGUAAAAC